rnacentral:rRNA from 1 species
UACGUAGGGUCCGAGCGUUGUCCGGAAUUACUGGGCGUAAAGCGCGCGCAGGCGGCCCGCGAGGUGUCACGUGAAACCCCCGGGCUCAACCCGGGAGGGUCGUGGCAAACCGGCGGGCUUGAGGCCGGUAGAGGUGGGUGGAACUCCUGGUGGAGUGGUGAAAUGCGUAGAGAUCAGGAAGAACACCCGUGGCGAAGGCGGCCCACUGGGCCGGUACUGACGCUGAGGCGCGAAGGCGUGGGGAGCGAACGGG